rnacentral:misc_RNA from 1 species
AACGCACAUUGCGCCCUUUGGUAUUCCGAAGGGCAUGCCUGUUCGAGCGUCAUUAUCACCCCUCAAGCCCUCGGCUUGGUGUUGGACGGUUUGGUGGAGGCCCCCUCGGGGGUUCCUGCCCCUCCCAAAGACAAUGACGGCGGCCUCGUUGGACCCCCGGUACACUGAGUUCUUCACGGGACACGUAUCGGACACAUGGGUUUACGGGACACGGUCUGCCUCCCCUCAGGGAGAAUCUUUCUAAGGUUGACCUCGGAUCAGGUAGGGAUACCCGCUGAACUUAA